rnacentral:rRNA from 1 species
GCCUUUACGGUCUAGCUCGUUCGUAAUGCAUUAGCAUCCGCAAUCGAACUUCGGAUUGACUUGGCGUAAUAGACUAUUCGCUGAGGAAUUCUAGUCUUCGGAUUAGAGCCGGGUUGGGUUAAAGGAAGCUUCUAAUCAGAAUGUCUACAUUUUAAGAUUAGAUCUCAAAUCAGGUAGGACUACCCGCUGAACUUAAGCAUAUCAAUAAGCGGAGGAAAAGAAACUAACAAGGAUUCCCCUAGUAGCGGCGAGCGAAGCGGGAAGAGCUCAAAUUUAUAAUCUGGCACCUUCGGUGUCCGAGUUGUAAUCUCUAGAAAUGUUUUCCGCGCUGGACCGCACACAAGUCUGUUGGAAUACAGCGGCAUAGUGGUGAGACCCCCGUAUAUGGUGCGGACGCCCAGCGCUUUGUGAUACAUUUUCGAAGAGUCGAGUUGUUUGGGAAUGCAGCUCAAAUUGGGUGGUAAAUUCCAUCUAAAGCUAAAUAUUGGCGAGAGACCGAUAGCGAACAAGUACCGUGAGGGAAAGAUGAAAAGCACUUUGGAAAGAGAGUUAACAGUACGUGAAAUUGUUGGAAGGGAAACGCUUGAAGUCAGACUUGCUUGCCGAGCAAUCGGUUUGCAGGCCAGCAUCAGUUUUCCGGGAUGGAUAAUGGUAGAGAGAAGGUAGCAGUUUCGGCUGUGUUAUAGCUCUCUGCUGGA